AGCAGCCGCGGUAAUUCCAGCUCCAAUAGCGUAUAUUAAAGUUGCCGCAGUUAAAAAGCUCGUAGUUGAAUUUCGGGAUCGAUAUAUCGGUCGUGCCUCGGUACGUACUGGUAUUUUCGGUUUCUCCCUUCUGACGAGCCUUGAUGUCAUUAAUUUGGUGUCUUGGGGAAUCAGGACUGUUACUUUGAAAAAAUUGAGUGUUUAAAGCAGGCUCACGCUUGAAUACAUUAGCAUGGAAUAAUGAAAUAGGACGUUUGAUUCUAUUUUGUUGGUUUCUAGGAUCGACGUAAUGAUUAAUUGGGAUAGUUGGGGGCAUUAGUAUUCAAUUGUCAGAGGUGAAAUUCUUGGAUUUAUUGAAGACUAACUACUGCGAAAGCAUUUGCCAAGGAUGUUUUCAUUAAUCAAGAACGAAAGUUAGGGAUCGAAGACGAUCAGAUACCGUCGUAGUCUUAACCAUAAACUAUGCCGACUAGGGAUCGGAUGAUGUUAAUUUUUANGUACUCAUUCGGCGCCUUACGGA
rnacentral:rRNA from 1 species